rnacentral:rRNA from 1 species
GAUUGGCGGACGGGUGAGUAAUGCCUAGGAAUCUGCCUGGUAGUGGGGGACAACGUUUCGAAAGGAACGCUAAUACCGCAUACGUCCUACGGGAGAAAGCAGGGGACCUUCGGGCCUUGCGCUAUCAGAUGAGCCUAGGUCGGAUUAGCUAGUAGGUGAGGUAAUGGCUCACCUAGGCGACGAUCCGUAACUGGUCUGAGAGGAUGAUCAGUCACACUGGAACUGAGACACGGUCCAGACUCCUACGGGAGGCAGCAGUGGGGAAUAUUGGACAAUGGGCGAAAGCCUGAUCCAGCCAUGCCGCGUGUGUGAAGAAGGUCUUCGGAUUGUAAAGCACUUUAAGUUGGGAGGAAGGGCAGUAAGUUAAUACCUUGCUGUUUUGACGUUACCAACAGAAUAAGCACCGGCUAACUUCGUGCCAGCAGCCGCGGUAAUAAU